GAAAGACAAGAGAGUCGACAUGUGACGCCAUAGGGGUAGGAAGCCGGGAACUAUUCUCCGGUGCUCAUCCCAACACCAUCCGGACUUCAGGACAGACAGAGCAGCUGGCCCACACACGGAAGAGCCGCCACCCGUGAGACUGGGUGACUGAGACGGUGGUGAAGGCUCUCCCUGCCCCCUGGGGCAGCGUUUCUUGUCGCCUGCUCCACCCCCAUCUUCCUGCCCUUCUCCUGAAACUCAGGUCUGCUCCAGGAGCAGAAGGCCAAACUUUAAAUCACAAAAUACCAUGUCCACAGGGCCAAUGGCCCAGCUCCACGUUGACUAGGGUCUUGUCCCUAAAGCUGGGCCUGAGCCUCCAGCAAGUGGGAUUUGUCACCUCCCUCUCUGUGUAGUAAAGCUGGAGCCACAGCCAA